CCUACGGGCGGCAGCAGUGAGGAAUAUUGGUCAAUGGGCGGAAGCCUGAACCAGCCAAGUAGCGUGCAGGAUGACGGCCCUACGGGUUGUAAACUGCUUUUAUACGGGAAUAACGCGCCUUAAGUGUAGGGCUUUGCAUGUACCGUAUGAAUAAGGAUCGGCUAAUUCCGUGCCCGCAACCGCGGUAAUACGGAAGGUCCGGGCGUUAUCCGGAUUUAGUGGGUUUAAGGGGAGCGUAGGCCGCAUGUCAAGCGUGCUGUGAAAUGUCCGGGAUCAACCCGGGCCUUGCAGCGCGAAAUGGCGUGCUUGAGUCCGCGGAAAGCAGGCGGAAGUCGUCGUGUAGCGGUGAAAUGCUUAGAUAUGACGAAGAACCCCGAUUGCGAAGGCAGCUUGCUGCAGCGGAACUGACGCUGAUGCUCGAAAGCGCGGGUAUCGAACAGGAUUAGAUACCCGGGUAGUC
rnacentral:rRNA from 1 species